UACGUAGGGUGCAAGCGUUGUCCGGAAUUAUUGGGCGUAAAGAGCUCGUAGGCGGUCUGUCGCGUCUGCUGUGAAAACUCGGGGCUUAACCCCGGGCCUGCAGUGGGUACGGGCAGACUAAAGUGCGGUAGGGGAGACUGGAAUUCCUGGUGUAGCGGUGAAAUGCGCAGAUAUCAGGAGGAACACCGGUGGCGAAGGCGGGUCUCUGGGCCGUAACUGACGCUGAGGAGCGAAAGCGUGGGGAGCGAACAGG
rnacentral:rRNA from 1 species